AUACCUUCUCGGCCUUUUGGCUAAGAUCAAGUGUAGUAUCUGUUCUAAUCAGUGUGAAAACUGAUUUCCACACUUCGGUGUGGUUUUUUUUCACAUUCAUUUUUACAAACUCCGAUAGUCCAGUUGGCUUGCCACUGACUAUUGGACUGGUUUCCGAGGGCCCAGCACUCCUCCCUUGUGAAGCCUAACUACU
ensembl:snRNA U2 U2 spliceosomal RNA